rnacentral:lncRNA from 1 species
GUAGUUCUAGUCUGAGAGGGAAAGAAGGCAGGAAGGAAGUCUCAUGGGAAGGUGCUGAAAGGCUGCAGAACUCAUGCAGGUGUGUAUAUAUUCUUAAUGACAUUCAUCUAGUUUGUGAAGUUAGUUUAGCAUAUAAUUAACAGCAUUUUCCUAACGUUCCAUGAUGGGAAUUCUGUUUCCUUCUUGUUUGGUCAUGAGACAUUUUGUUGUUACUAAAAACUUUGAUGAAAACUUGUCAGUAAGGAAAGUGAAGGUUAAUCACCAGUUACAUCAGAAUAGAUUGAGAUACUUC